CAGUCCGGUCCCGCGGUGUCUCCGCCUGUUGAUGCCGCGCGGCCCGCGGGCUCGGAUGCU
rnacentral:pre_miRNA from 1 species